rnacentral:tRNA from 1 species
GGAGGGAUGGCCGAGUGGUUUAAGGCGGUGGUCUUGAAAACCUCUGUAGGACUCUGUUCUACCGUGGGUUCGAAUCCCACUCCCUCCG